GAGAGGGGGGUAGCGAGACAGGUGAAGAGAGACAGAUGUAGAGAGAGGGGUAGCGAGACAGGUGAAGAGAGACAGAUGUAGAGAGAGGUGAAGAGAGACGUACAGAGGGGUUAUGUGGAGAGAGGGGGUGAAGAGAGACAGACAGAUGCAGAGAGGUAUAGCGAGACAGAUGUAGAGAGAGAGGGGGGUAGCGAGACAGGUGAAGAGAGACAGAUGUAGAGAGAGGGGUAGCGAGACAGGUGAAGAGAGACAGAUGUAGAGAGAGAGGGGGGUAGCGAGACAGGUGAAGAGAGACAGAUGUAGAGAGAGAGAGGGGUAGCGAGACAGGUGAAGAGAGACAGAUGUAGAGAGAGGGGUGAAGAGAGAAAGGAACGGAAAGAAAGAUACAUUGAAAAAGAUUAGUCCUAAAAAAAGAAAAAUCAA